rnacentral:lncRNA from 1 species
AACACUCUUGGACCAUUUAAUUCUAAUUCUCCAUUACAAUUAAACCCUAGAGAGAUUCAGAUGACAAUAAUACUCUUGAUUGUGACCCCAUGGACCUCUGAAACGCGACGAAAUGGAAUUGACGAUGAAAUGAGAUUGAGAAAUCAAGUCUCUUGACUUCUUUAUGAAUAGAUGCAUGAAUAAAUAUCAUCAAGAUCAAAUAAAAUUCCAUAACUAUUGACUUUUCAUCUAAACCCUGAUGAAUGCUUUUGACUGAAAGAAUGAAUAGUAAAAAUGAAUCGAUUAUGCUAUGCUGAUGCGGGUGAAAAAAUCAGGAUAAAAUGUAGGGUAUGACAUGUGGAUGUGUGUUUGGGAAAUUCCUCUUGUUAAAUACCUGGAAGUCAUCUUCCUCCUAAGACGAUUAGUCAUUCACUAUGAAUUACACUCUAAUAAAACUUGUUGAACACAUGACUCCUUACACAAGAAGGAGGACAAAUUUUGGAGGUUUGAAAAUCAUUGAUUAAAAUCAAA